CCAGGUGGUAAUUGAAGGUGGUCAAGAAGCAUCACAUGUCACAACUACUGAUCGUCGUGCUGGGUAAUUUGAGGCCAAAUUCUUUCACAAGAUCCUUCAAGAAGAAAUUGGGGGCGUGAAAGGGCAUUUUGGACCAAUAAAUGCUUUGGCAUUCAAUCCUGAUGGAAGAAGUUUCUCAAGUGGAGGUGAAGAUGGUUAUGUCAGAUAAUAUCACUUUGAUCCAGAUUACUUCAAUAUCAAGAUGUAACUCCCAAGCAUGCUGACAAGGAGAAUU